AUAUCAAAUCAAAUCCCAUUGGACUUUAUCAUAUAUAUUUAAAGUUCAAUUAAUCAAAUCAAACUCUAAUGCAUCUAACUAGAGUUUAAUUUGAAUCAAACCUUAUUAAAUCCCAAUGUAUAUACAUGGAAUUUAAUCAACCUUCCAUCUUGAGGUGAACAAUGUUGAGCACUGAAAUAUAUAGAGCCCAAUUAAAUCAAUUUGAUCAUAUACUUUGAUAUCUUGGUUCAGAAUCAAAUUCAAUCAACCGUCAUACUCAUGUCGUUGUAUUAACCAUUUUCUCUUUUAUUAUACACUGGGGGCAUGUCCCUGGUUAAGCUAUGUAAUUGUAUACUGAAUUAUGUUAUAAAAUUCAUCUUUUAUUCAAGUUCAGCAUUACAGAGGUCUCUUAAUCAAAGGUGCCCUCACACUUUGUAGGAGUAAUUAACAAUAAAUGCUUGCGUUUAUUGGAAGCCAUGAAUCCACAAUACCUGAUUCCCAUACAUAUUCAAAUAUUAAUCUGAAUCAUGAAUACUACCCCACGGUAAAAUCAAAAUAAGAUUAACCGU
rnacentral:lncRNA from 1 species